GACGAACGCUGGCGGCGUGCCUAAUACAUGCAAGUAGGACGCAGUUGCGAACGGGUGAGUAACGCGUAGGUAACUGCCUAUUAGAGGGGGAUAACUAUUGGAAACGAUAGCUAAUACCGCCUACUAGUAGAUGGACCUGCGUUGUAUUAGCUAGUAGGUAGGGUAAUGGCCUACCUAGGCAACGAUACAUAGCCGACCUGAUGGGGUGAUCGGCCAAACUGGGACUGAGACACGGCCCAGACUCCUACGGGAGGCAGCAGUAGGGAAUCUUCGCCCAUGGGGCGAAAGCUGACCGAGGAACGCCCCGUGAGUGAAGAAGGGUUUCGGGUCGUAAAGCUAUGUUGUUAAGGAAGCGGUACUUAACCAGAAAGGGACGGCUAACUACGUGCCAGCAGCCGCGGUAAUUC
rnacentral:rRNA from 1 species